UACGGAGGAUCCAAGCGUUAUCCGGAAUCAUUGGGUUUAAAGGGUCCGUAGGUGGACUGUUAAGUCAGGGGUGAAAGUCUGCAGCUCAACUGUAGAAUUGCCCUUGAUACUGGUAGUCUUGAGUUAUUAUGAAGUGGUUAGAAUAUGUGGUGUAGCGGUGAAAUGCAUAGAUAUCACAUGGAAUACCGAUUGCGAAGGCAGAUCACUAAUAAUAUACUGACACUGAUGGACGAAAGCGUGGGUAGCGAACAGG
rnacentral:rRNA from 1 species